rnacentral:snRNA from 1 species
GCACUUCGGAAGUGCAUAUACUAAAAUUGGAACGAUACAGCGAAGGUGGGCAUGGCCCCUGCGCGUAAAAAGAAAAGAAACAUUUCU